CCUGCCCCUAGAGGCAUUGCAGAUAUGACUGAUAAGUCACAUGUAUGUCAGUAGGUGAAAAGAGAAAAGAGGCUAUGUCUAUGCAUGGUGUUCUGACAAUAGAGACAUCUGAGUGAUUACUAGCCUAACAUU